UUAAUUGAAGAGUUUGAUCAUGGCUCAGAUUGAACGCUGGCGGCAGGCCUAACACAUGCAAGUCGGGCGGUAACAGGGAGAAGCUUGCUUCUCUGCUGACGAGCGGCGGACGGGUGAGUAAUGUAUGGGGAUCUGCCUGAUGGCGGGGGAUAACUACUGGAAACGGUAGCUAAUACCGCAUAAUGUCUUCGGACCAAAGCGGGGGACCUCAGGGCCUCGCGCCAUCAGAUGAACCCAUAUGGGAUUAGCUAGUAGGUAAGGUAACGGCUUACCUAGGCGACGAUCCCUAGCUGGUCUGAGAGGAUGAUCAGCCACACUGGGACUGAGACACGGCCCAGACUCCUACGGGAGGCAGCAGUGGGGAAUAUUGCACAAUGGGCGCAAGCCUGAUGCAGCCAUGCCGCGUGUAUGAAGAAGGCCUUCGGGUUGUAAAGUACUUUCAGUCGGGAGGAAGGUGUCAAGGUUAAUAACCUUG
rnacentral:rRNA from 1 species